GUUAUAUGGUCAAGCGAAUAAGCGCACACGGUGAAUGCCUAGGCGGUCAGAGGCGAUGAAGGACGUGGUAGCCUGCGAAAAGUGUCGGGGAGCUGGCAACAAGCUUUGAUCCGGCAAUAUCCGAAUGGGGAAACCCACUGCUUCGGCAGUAUCCUGCAGUGAAUUCAUAGCUGCUGGAAGCGAACCCGGUGAACUGAAAUAUCUAAGUAACCGGAGGAAAAGAAAUCAACCGAGAUUCCCUAAGUAGUGACGAGCGAACGGGGAGCAGCCCUUAAGCUGGAAUGGCUUUAGAAAAACAAUCUGGAAAGAUUGGCCAUAGAAGGUGAUAGCCCUGUAUUUAAAAGGGCCACUCCAGUGAAGACGAGUAGGGCGGGGCACGUGAAACCCUGUCUGAAUAUGGGGGGACCAUCCUCCAAGGCUAAAUACUCCUGACCGACCGAUAGUGAACCAGUACCGUGAGGGAAAGGCGAAAAGAACCCCGGAGAGGGGAGUGAAAUAGAUCCUGAAACCGUGUGCGUACAAGCAGUAGGAGCUCGCAAGAGUGACUGCGUACCUUUUGUAUAAUGGGUCAGCGACUUACUGUUCGUGGCAAGCUUAACCGUAUAGGGGAGGCGAAGGGAAACCGAGUCUGAUAAGGGCGCAUAGUCGCGGGCAGUAGACCCGAAACCGGGUGAUCUAGUCAUGGCCAGGGUGAAGGUGCCGUAACAGGUACUGAAGGCCCGAACCCACGUCUGUUGCAAAAGACGGGGAUGAGCUGUGAUUAGGAGUGAAAAGCUAAUCGAACCCGGAGAUAGCUGGUUCUCCUCGAAAGCUAUUUAGGUAGCGCCUCGGACGAAUACUACUGGGGGUAGAGCACUGUUAUGGCUAGGGGGUCAUCGCGACUUACCAAACCAUUGCAAACUCCGAAUACCAGUACGUACUAUCCGGGAGACACACGGCGGGUGCUAACGUCCGUCGUGAAAAGGGAAACAACCCAGACCCACAGCUAAGGUCCCCAAUUCACUGCUAAGUGGAAAACGAUGUGGAAAGGCAUAGACAGCCAGGAGGUUGGCUUAGAAGCAGCCACCCUUUAAAGAAAGCGUAAUAGCUCACUGGUCGAGUCGGUCUGCGCGGAAGAUUUAACGGGGCUAAGCAGUGAACCGAAGCUUGGGGUGCAUAAAACUUGUUUUAUGCGCGGUAGAGGAGCGUUCCGUAAGCCUGCGAAGGUGGAUUGAGAAGUCUGCUGGAGGUAUCGGAAGUGCGAAUGCUGACAUGAGUAACGAUAAUGCGGGUGAAAAGCCCGCACGCCGAAAGCCUAAGGUUUCCUUGCGCAACGUUAAUCGACGCAGGGUUAGUCGGUCCCUAAGGCGAGGGCGAAAGCCGUAGUCGAUGGGAAGCAGGUUAAUAUUCCUGCACCUCGCGUGAGUGCGAUGGAGGGACGGAGAAGGUUAGGUGUACCGGGCGUUGGUUGUCCCGGGGAAAGGCGGUAGGUUUGGAUCUUUGGCAAAUCCGGGAUCCUUUAAGACCGAGCACCGAGACGAGCCUUCUUGGCGAAGUCACUGAUACCACGCUUCCAGGAAAAGCUCCUAAGCUUCAGCUCACGAAGACCGUACCGUAAACCGACACAGGUGGGUAGGAUGAGAAUUCUCAGGCGCUUGAGAGAACUCGGGUGAAGGAACUAGGCAACAUGGCACCGUAACUUCGGGAGAAGGUGCACCCUUUUUGGUGGCUCAUGCGAGCUAUAGCUGAAGAGGGUCGCAGAAACCAGGCCGCUGCGACUGUUUAUCAAAAACACAGCACUCUGCAAACACGAAAGUGGACGUAUAGGGUGUGACGCCUGCCCGGUGCUGGAAGGUUAAUUGAUGGGGUCAGCCGCAAGGCGAAGCUCUUGAUCGAAGCCCCAGUAAACGGCGGCCGUAACUAUAACGGUCCUAAGGUAGCGAAAUUCCUUGUCGGGUAAGUUCCGACCUGCACGAAUGGCGUAACGACAGCGGCGCUGUCUCCACCCGAGACUCAGUGAAAUUGAAAUCGCUGUGAAGAUGCAGCGUUCCCGUGGCAAGACGGAAAGACCCCGUGAACCUUUACUAUAGCUUUACACUGAACGUUGAGUUCGUCUGUGUAGGAUAGGUGGGAGGCUAUGAAACUGUGGCGCUAGCUGCAGUGGAGCCAUCCUUGAAAUACCACCCUGUCGUGCUUGACGUUCUAACCUAGGUCCGUGAUCCGGAUCAGGGACCGUGUAUGGUGGGUAGUUUGACUGGGGCGGUCUCCUCCUAAAGAGUAACGGAGGAGCACGAAGGUACGCUCAGCGCGGUCGGACAUCGCGCACUGUGUGCAAAGGCAUAAGCGUGCUUGACUGCAAGAUCGACGGAUCAAGCAGGUACGAAAGUAGGUCUUAGUGAUCCGGUGGUUCUGUAUGGAAGGGCCAUCGCUCAACGGAUAAAAGGUACUCCGGGGAUAACAGGCUGAUACCGCCCAAGAGUUCAUAUCGACGGCGGUGUUUGGCACCUCGAUGUCGGCUCAUCACAUCCUGGGGCUGUAGUCGGUCCCAAGGGUAUGGCUGUUCGCCAUUUAAAGUGGUACGCGAGCUGGGUUCAGAACGUCGUGAGACAGUUCGGUCCCUAUCUGCCAUGGGCGUUGGAAGUUUGAGAGGGGCUGCUCCUAGUACGAGAGGACCGGAGUGGACGAACCUCUGGUGUUCCGGUUGUCACGCCAGUGGCAUUGCCGGGUAGCUAUGUUCGGAAGCGAUAACCGCUGAAAGCAUCUAAGCGGGAAGCGCGCCUCAAGAUGAGACUUCCCGGGGCACAAGCCCCCUAAAGGAACCAUGUAGACUACGUGGUUGAUAGGUCAGGUGUGUAAGUACAGCAAUGUAUUGAGCUAACUGAUACUAAUGAUCCGUGCGGCUUGACCAUAUAACCU
rnacentral:rRNA from 1 species